rnacentral:lncRNA from 1 species
UAAAAAGGAAGUCUAUAUAAGGAGGGGAACGAGCUUUGUUUAUAGCACAAGUGAAACUCCACUUUAUUGAACGAUGGGGUCUCAAAUGGGCUGCCUCUUUGCCACUCUUUUGGUAGUAUCAGUCUCUCUUAGCUACUUGCCGUUAGAAGCCUCCGCAAACAAAUACUACUACACAUCUCCUCCCCCUCCCAAAUACAAGUCUCCACCACCACCCCCGCCACCGGUUCACAAUUCUCCACCACCACCCCCGGUUUACCUGCCCCCGCCACCUCCUCCACCAGUCUACGUGCCUGCUCCGGCACCAACUCCAAUUUUCCCUUCUCCGCCACCUCCUGUCCCCAAGUCCCCACCACCACCUCACCCUUACAUCUAUGCAUCUCCCCCUCCUCCUUACUACUACUAGAAAGUGGCCAUGAAUAGCUCAUGCUUUUAUGGUAAUCUCAUUUAUUUUUAAAACUGUACAUGUAAAGACUAGUAGUUCAGAAUUACAUUAAGCAUUUCAAUUUUAAGCACCGUGUUCUGUUUAAUUGCGUUCCUAUUGAUUAAGUGACAAAUAAAAGAGAUUGAUUAAUUUGUUCUUGUAGGAGAGGCGAAUGGUUUCCGAAUAAAGAAAGCAAGGGUUUGAUGGAAGGCUUACUUGGAGCAAGAGAGCGAUCAAUCGAGUUGCUGCGUUUUAUUCUCUUUUAUCUUUGUUUUUUAAGAAAAAUAAACUGCCACACGUAGAAACAGAAAAUUAAGUUCUUGUCAUUUUCAUGCAUAUGGAUUGUUGCUGUGUGUGUCAAUCAAAUCUCCGUUGUGUCAUUUGUAAUUUUCAACCUUUAUGCAUGCAAAUGCGAGACCUCUUACGUAUAAUAAAAUUAAUAUACUUCCAAAGAUGGUCUUAUCUUGCGUUGACUUUUUACGUUCCUUUGGUGAUGAUUUUGACGUUUGAAAUUGAUGACUAUUGUUUUUGUAAACUCUGACAUGGAUUUUUCGUGCAACUACAGAGCGCAUUAACGAGAGACUUAUCCAUGAGGGUCCAUGCAGAUCAGUGUCUAAUUAACCAAUAAUUAAUAUAACUUAAAAAAUAUAGAGUUAAUAAUUUUUAUGGGUCAUGCUCAAUUGCAGAUGUUCGUACAAAAUUUCUUGCUAAUGUAUACUUGAGUAUGAUAAUAAGUUUUAAUCAUUAUUAAUAAUUCACUUGAUAAUAUUAAACAAAUUUUCAUAUCAAUUAAGUUACAAAAUUUCUGUGACAAAUUUCCACGUACUGGAACCAUGCAAAAGGGCUUUAUUCAAGCAAAGCUGCAUAGCCGUUGGCAAUUAAAAUUAUUUAUCAAUUAAGUUAAGUAGUAAGAAUUGGAUUGUGGAUUCCAUUAAUUAUUUCAAGGAAAAUUUUAUAGAUAAUGCCGUAAUGAAAUUUACGGCAUCAAUAUCACGAUAAAUAUAAAUAUUGUAAAUUACAAAUAGAAUUAGUAAAUGUAAAGUAAAACCAGUAAAUUCAUAAAAGAUUAUUAAUUAUUUAAAAAAUUAACAUUGUGUUAUGUUUGCAAGUUUUUGUUUUGUUUACUAGUUUUAUGUUAUGUUUGCAAGUUUUUGUUUUGUUUACUAGUAAUAGAUUAAUGGGUAAUUUUUAAUUGAGUCCUCAUUAGUUCUAGAAAAACAAUUCAGAGACCAGAAGUUUACUAAAUGAAUCAAUUAAAUUCUUUCAAGUACAAACUAAUGUCAUUCAAGUCCUUAACUUAAUUGGUCAGUUAAAAAUAUUAACAACGUCGAGGACAUUUUAGUAAAACAACAAUUGAGUCGUUUCUCAUUCUUUAUUUUUGACAGGUGGAAAUAGUUUAAAGUAAACUCACUUAACCUGAUUAAGUUAAGGAUCAGUUCUUUCAAAUGAAAAAAAAAAAAAAAAAAAACCUACAGAAACUGCCAUAUUCUUCGUGUGGGAGGAGAGAUCGAGAGAACGUGGGAUGGUGCAAAAAAUGUUGUAUAAAUCUACUGUGAUUUUGACCAAAGCUUUGGUAGCAUUGAUUGAGUUCAAGUACUGGAGAGAACCUGAGUUUAAAGGUUAGUAACUCUAUUUUUUUAGUGAUUUCUGCAAGCAUUUUCUGAUAAAAAAUUUUCCGUAUUGAGUGAUCGUUGUGAAAAAUUAAGUUUUUCAAGUCUAUUUUACAAAAUGACAAACUAUGUUUAAUUAUUGGUGGAUUCUUUUUUUUGUUCAAUGUUGUAUUUUGUUAAUUUGUUGUUUUUAAUUUGCUCUUAAUGUAAUUGUUAGACCAAAUACACCAUUAUUAUACCUGUAUUCAUUUCAACAAUUUGGUAUCGUUAUAUUAAUAAGAUUGAAUUCAUUGUAUUUGCUUCUUUGUUCAUGUAAAAUUGAAUUCUAUGUAUUCUUAUGAGUGAUAAUUUUUCUAUCUAUUAGACUAAAUUCACUAUAUUCACGACUUUCUUUCUUUUUGCUGGGCUAUUUUUUCUUUUUAGUUUAUAUUUUUUAUAUGUAUUAGAUUGAAUUUGCUUUUGUACGUUUUUUUAGCCGAAUUACAUGUAUAUUUUAUUUAGGUUGAGUUUUUUUGUUGUUUGCUAAAUAAAAUUCUAUUGGUUUAUCAUUUUUUGAUGCAAUACUUUUUGUUUAAAAUUAAUGCAGGUAGCCAUGUUACCUUUUUUUCGGUUAAAAUUAAUUGGGUGAUGUAUGCGAUAUAGGGAACCAGAGGAAUAUAAGAUUAUUAGGUUGUUUCUUGAAAUUCAAGAUGUCAUGGUUGAGCAUGGACACAGUGAAAUGGAUUUGAUUGAAAUUUCUGUUGUAUUGCCAUGGACUACAAGUAGGCAGAGGAAGCUAAUUUCAAACGAUAGUGAAUUGUAUUGGGUUUUCGAGGAGUUUUUUUUUUUUUUUUAUCAAUAGUUGUCCUGUCAUUGAGUUUGAGGUGCACAUUGGGUCAGGUGGUCAGUCAUUUCAUGAAAGUGUUGUAAUAGGACCUGAAAAUCCUGUCAAUAUAGGUGUUAGUGUUAUAAUAGUGAUAAGUUUGAAAAUCCUGUGGCUAAAAAGGGUAUGCCUAGAAUAAUUGGUACUUCUUUAUUUGCCUCAAAGUUCAACACUAUGAAAUCCACCAAGAAAAAGAAUUUAUCCACUUUAACCAGCAAUCUUCAAUCUUGCCUUCAGGAUAAGCAUGAGAUCUGUCAGCACAUUGCAAUGACACUGUGGUUGGUCUGACUUCUCCAACUUCCAAUUGCUUGAAUUCUGAUAAUGUCAUAAGAUUGAUGGCUUGCUCUCAAAUCACAAAGUGUCUUGCCACUGUAUUUAGUUCCUAUGGAACAAGGAAUUGUGAAACUUCCUGGAUCCUUCAACUUCUGAGGCAUUUUACUCUGAAGCAUAUGGCUGCAUUCUUGUGUUAGAGCAACUAUUUCGAAUUCUCCAAGCCUCCACUACUAGAAAAACAGGCUACUAUGACAGAAUUUUUGUGAUAGAUAUCAGAAAAUUAGUCAUUUAUCACAAAAAUAUAACAUACAUGUGAUAGAAUUUUCAUAUAUCAACAAGGCAUGAUAGAUUUGUGAUAGUUUCUUUAUCUGUCACUUGUACAUGAUAGCAUAUUAAUAUAGUAAUGAAACGGUGAGUUUAAGAUUGGCCAAUUUGGGCAUUGAACGACACCGUGUCUUGAAGCCUUUAAAAAAAAUUCUAAGUGUUGGACACUCCUUUGAACUUCACAUAGAAAACCCUAAUUUCUACAUCCAAACUGAAUCACACAAAAAUACACCAUCACACUUGCCGCCAAUAAAUUGUUGUUGUUCGUCUUUGUCGUCAUCUUCAUCCCCACUCCACAGCUUGCUGGCUAUUCCCAUUUCCCUUUUAUAGCUUGAACAACUGAUCUUCUUCAAGUUCGAGCCACUGUUACUGACUUCUUUCGGGAGAGGUAAGUGAUUAAUUCUUUUUUUUUUUUGAAGAGACAACAAUCACCAUAAAUUUCUCAAAAUCCCUAAAAUUAUGCCAAAAAAAGGAAAAAAUAAAGCCGUUCCAUGGCCUUAAAGGACUGACUUCGAGUUCGUGGACUAACGUGCCAACGACUCCGCUUUAUGGCCUUCGUGGAACGAUUCCGUGACACGCGAGUGGCAGCGUGCUAUUUACGUGGAGUCGGAUCGGAGAAGAUUGUACUACGAGGAGUUGGCGAUGUGAGAAAGACAGCGAGUUAGCUACUACGUCUUCGACUUAGGGUAAAAUUUUGGCAGAAUUUGAACUGAAAUUUAGUGGGUUUUGAGUGGUAAGACGAGGUUUUGAGAGAGGAAAAGGAGUGUUUGGCUGGCGAGAAAGUGAGAGAAAGUUUUUGAGUGUGGAGUGAUGGCUUCUCUGUUUUUACUUCUUUAUUGUUCUUUAUUGAGUAGAUGGUGACGAUACAAACUUUUAACAUUGUUUACUUAAUUAAUUGGAUAACAAUCUUACAUGACUAUUUUGAUUUAUCAGAUAAAUCAGUUAGAGAAGAAUGGAGAUGUUGUUGCUCAGGCACGAGCAAUUACAGCAAUCUAGACACUCUGCCCCGUCUUUCUUUCAAUGUUGUUGGCACACUGAAUAAUUUCCUUAGUGACAAGUUAACCAAAUUUAGAGGUAUAUGUGAUUUUGAUUUGACUUACUCUUAAUGAAAUACAAUAAGGAUUUUUUCUGUUGUUUCUAGGCCUUUUGGAGAGUUCGGAUUGAAGCAACGUUUGCCUUAGCUAAUACAACAUCUAAGGUAUUGUUAUUAUUCUCACCUUUAUUUAUUAAAUAUAUUGAGCACAUGGUAGGUCCACCAAAAUGUAUGCAAAAUCUAUUCACCAGAGGUAUUCGCAUAAAGUGAAUUUUUGUGAGAGACUAUUCUUCAACUGUGAAAACUACUUUGGUAGUUCUCAAACCCAUUACAAUUGAUUGGUGCUUGUGUUUUUCUAUUAGAAAGAUAUCUUCUGUAAAAUCUUUGUGAACUACAUUUUUGGAAAUGCAAAUGCUUUGUGUGGUGGUGAUUGUGCUUAUUUGCUUGGUCUUCUAGCAUUUCAGUGAAAUGAUUUAUUUUGACUUGUGCUUAUGACUAACUUGUUGACAGAGAAACUAGGCCAUUUAUGGAUGCACUGAUAUGAAUCCUAUAAUUUUUCUCUUAAUUGACAUGUUGAACUUUUUGGAAGAUAUUUUUUUUUUAUUUGAUUUGUCACAUAUUGUGCUUUAUUAGUUGGAAAUGUUUUGGUUUGUGGACCAUGUUGCACUUACCAGUUCUCAAUAUUGAUAUAUGAUAUAUACACACUAUUGUACUGGAAAUUGAUUGAGUUGGUUUGCUCCAUCUGGUGAAAUUUUAUAAAAGUCGAAGGUUUGAUGAGAAUAUUGGACUCCCCAAGUGAGAAUCUAUCUAAGUUUGAAAUUGUUCUGAUAUCGUUGCUGCAGCACUUUGUUAACGUUUUUGUUUUCUGCUGAUCAUUCCAGGCCAAAUGAUAUCCGUGAUUUUUCAGAGUAUUUGUUCUUGAGGUAAUGCCUUGAGGUAAGGUAUGUAAUGAGUUGUGUGAAGUGGGAUGUGAUAAUAAUUUUGCCCUCGCUUCAUGUGAUGAAAUCCCACAUAAUUUGCCCUUGCUUUAUGUGAUGAAAUCUUUGGGUGGUUUGUUUAUUUAGUGUUUUUCUAUUUCUUUUUAUAUGCUAAUUUUCAUAGUUCUAGAGCAAGUCUUUCUCUAGUCAUUUUGAAAUACUUCCACAUGCUGCUUCUUAAGCCAAGAUUGUCUUGCCCUAAUGAACAAGUUAAAUGGAUUUGCGUUGCUUGGAGUCUCAGUGUAAUAUAUGUGUUUUAGAACUUAGAUUGAUAAACAAAUUUGAACAAAUACAGUGGAAUAAGAAUAAAGAGAAGAUUAAAAAAAAAAGAGUAGAAAUAAAGAAAAGGAUGGUGAAACUUUAGGAGAAUAGGGGAAUCAAGAGAAGAGGAUAGAAUUUUGAUGGAUUUUAUUUAAUUAUGUAACGGAGGUUUUGUGUUGUUAGAUGUUGUGCGUUAAUUAAUUUGUAAUCUUGGAAAAAUACUUUAUCAUGAAUUGGGUUAAUUGUAAGUGGUCAAUACACUAAUAUAUAUUCUUCUAGCACUCAUCUAAAUGUAAUAUGUGUUUCAGGUGAUGUUGGUGGCUCUUGGGAAUUUACUAUCAGUGUUCUUUUUACGAAUUAAUUGUUUUUCUAAUGAUGGGGUAGUGAUUGAAUAUUGUAGAGAAUUUAUGAGUUAUUCUUACGGAUUUGAUUCACCAUGUAUUUUGAUGAUACUAUUUGUUGGAAGUUUCAAGUAAUUGAAAUUUUUAGUAUAUGGUGAUAUUUGGUAUUUGAUAGUUUUUAUGAAUUUGAAUGUAAUUUUUAUUUCAGUUAAUUCAAAUUUUAAAAUGUGGGUUUUGUUAUUUCUAUUUCAAAAUUCUGGAAUUUAAAUAAUAUUAAUUAGUAUUAUUAUAAUUUCAAAAUUAAAAAUAAUAAUUUUAUUUUUUUAAACCUUAAAUCUCAUGACAGAGAAUGUGAAUCAUUAAUAUAUGAAAGAUUUUGAAAAAGCCCACCAAAUUCAAUAUAAUUUAAAUUACCUGCUAAAAUUUCCAAUUAAUUCUCAAAAGCCUUGCAAAACGACGUCGCUUGGUUCGUGACAUAUGCGUGAUAGAUAUACACUGUCACAGAAACAUGUGAUAGAUAAAAUGUUGUCAUAGAUUUAUGAAAGGGGCUACAAUGACAGAUGGAAACUCUGUCAUAAGAGGGGUCGGAUGACAGAUAUUCUCUGUCAUGAUAGCCCAUUUUUCUAGUAGUGCUCAUUUUCCUUGCCAAUAUACAUUUCCAAAACUUUACAUAAUUUGGCAUUUGUUCCAAUGCUUCCACAAAAGGAAUGUUGAUAUGCAGUUGUUUCAAUACUUCCACCACCUGUCCCCAAGUUCCCACCACCACCUCACCCUUGCGUCUAUGCAUCUCCCCCUCCUCCUUACUACUACUAGAAAGCGGCCAUGAAUAGCUCAUGCUUUUAUGGUAAUCUCAUUUAUUUUUAAAACUGUACAUGUAAAGACUAGUAGUUCAGAAUUACAUUAAGCAUCAAAUUUAAGCACCGUGUUCUAUUUAAUUGCGUUCCUAUUGAUUAAGUGACAAAUAAAAGAGAUUGAUUAAUUUGUUCUUGUAGGAGAGGCGAAUGGUAUCCGAAUAAAGAAAGCAAGGGUUUGAUGGAAGGCUUACUUGGAGCAAGAUAGCGAUCAAUCGAGUUGCUGCGUUUUAUUCUCUUUUAUCUUUGUUUUUUAAGAAAAAUAAACUGCCACACGUAGAAACAGAAAAGUUCUUGUCAUUUUCAUGCAUAUGGAUUGUUGCUGUGUGUUUCAAUCAAUUCUCUGGCGUGUCAUUUGUAAUUUUCAACCUUCAUGCAUGCAAAUGCGAGACCUCUUUCGUAUAAUAAAAUUAGGGGAUUGUCACUUUCCCCCUACAGUAAUUAACAUAUAUUAUUUAUUCUCUUACUAUUUUUAUAAUGGCCAAAAACCCACUGACAACAUAAGUUUACAAUAUUACCUUUAUUUUUAACUACUCUUUUAUUUACAUUUAUUAUAAAUUAAAUAAAUUACAUGAAUAGAAACUAAAUAAAAAAAUUAAGUAUUAAAAAUAAGAAAUAUAUGUUGAUAUGAGGAAAAAAAUUAAUAAUAAAAUUUUUUUCUUGUAAUUAUUUAUUUUGUGAACAUUUUCUUAUAACAUUUUGUAAUAUUUUAAAAUUAAAUGUAAAAAGUAUAGGCAAAAUAUUUUAUUAUUUAUCUUAUAAUAAAUUGUUAUUUGUCAUUCAAAUUUUCUUAUAAUAAUUUUUUUUAUCAUUUUAUAAUAACUUUCUUAUAUAUUUAUUAUAAGAAAAUUUUCACAAAAUAAAUAAGUACAAGAAAAAAAAUUUAUUAUUAAUUUUUUUCUCAUAUCAAAACAUAUAAUAAUUUUUUUCUCAUAUCAAAACAUAUAUUUCUUGUUUUUAAUUCCUAAUUUUUUAUUUGAUUUCUAUUCAUGUGAUUUAUUUAAUUUGUAAUAAAUAUAAAUAAAAGAGUAAUUGAAAAUAAAGGUAAUGUUGUACACUUAUGCUAUCAGGGGAAGUUUUGGCCAUUAUAAAAAUAGUAUGGGAAAAAUAGUAUAUGUUGAUUACUAUAGGAGGGAAAUUAGCAAUCUCCCAAUAAAAUUAAUAUACUUCCCAAGACCGUCUUAUCUUGCGUUGACUUUUUACGUUCCUUUGGUGAUGAUUUUGACGUUUGAAAUUGAUGACUAUUGUUUUUGUAAACUCUGCAUGGAUUUUUCGUGCAACUACAGAGCGCAUUAACGAGAGACUUAUUCAUGAGGGUCCAUGCAGAUCAGUGUCUAAUUAACGAAUAAUUAAUAUAACUUAAAAAAUAUAUAGUUAACAAUUUUUAUGGGUCAUGCUCAAUUGCAGAUGUUCGUACAAAAUUUCUUGCUAAUGUAUACUUGAGUAUGAUAAUAAGUUUUAAUCAUUAUUAAUAAUUCACUUGAUAAUAUUAAACAAAUUUUCAUAUCAAUUAAGUUACAAAAUUUCUAUGACAAAUUUCCACGUACUGGAACCAUGCAAAAGGGCUUUAUUCAAACAAAGCUGCAUAGCCGUUGGCAAUUAAAAUAAUUUAUCAAUUAAGUUAAGUAGUAAGAAUUUUAUUGUGGAUUCGAUUAAUUAUUUCAAGGAAAAUUCUAUCGAUAAUGCCGUAACGAAAAUUACACAUAAAAUUAGUAAAUGUAAAGUAAAACCAGUAAAUUCAUAAAAAAUUAUUAAUUAUUUAAAAAAUUAAUAUUGUUUUUACAUAAUUUUAGUGCAAAAUAUUUUAUUUAGUUACAAAAAAAAUUUCUUUAAUUAAACAAAAAAAUUAUACAGAAAAAAAGUGGAAUACGUUUUAUUGAAUUGGUUACCAUAAAUUCUGUAAUUAUUCUAGGACAUUUGUAUACAUUUUUUUCUCAUUUUCUAUAAUGACAUCUAUUUAUUACACAUGUUAAUUAAGCGCAAUUAUUUAUCUUGAUGUGGAUCAAGUAAAAAUAAAAGAAAAGAUAUAUCAAUCAAAUUAGAUAUAAUUUUGAAUACUAUGUAUACUUUAUGUAGUUUCAAACUUUUUACUUGUAUUUGGAGACCAUUUAAGAUUGUUGUUGAAGAAGUGUAGAAAGAUGUAAAAUAACGUCAUCUUACAACAAUUAUAAUGAUAUCUAUUUAUUACACAUGUUAAUUAAGCACAAUUAUUUAUCUUGAUGUGGAUCAAGUAAAAAUAAAAGAAAAGAUAUAUCAAUAAAAUUAGAUCUAAUUUUGAAUAGGGAGAUUGCCAAUUUUCCCCCUACAGUAAUCAACAUAUACCAUUUUCCCCCCUACUGUUUUUAUAAUGGCCAAAAACCCCCCUGAUAGCAUAAGUGUAUAUUAUUACUCUUAUUUUCAACUACUCUUUUAUUUAUAUUUGUUAUAAAUUAAAUAAAUCACAUGAAUAGAAACCAAAUAAAAAAUUAAGCAUUAAAAACAAGAAAUAUAUGUUUUGAUAUGAGAAAAAAAUUAAUAAUAAUUUUUUUCUUGUACUUAUUUAUUUUGUGAAAAUUUUCUUAUAAUAAAUAUAUAAGAAAGUUAUUAUAAAACGAUAAAACCAAUUAUUAUAAGAAAAUUUGAAUGACAAAUAAAAAUUUAUUAUAAUAUAAAUAAUAAAAUAUUUUGUCUAUACUUUUUACAUUUAAUUUUAAAAUAUUACAAAAUGUUUAUUAUAAGAAAAUGUUCACAAAAUAAAUAAUUACAAGAAAAAAAUUUUAUUAUUAAUUUUUUUUGCUCAUAUCAAAUCAUAUAGUUCUUAUUUUUAAUACUUAAUUUUUUUAUUUAUUUUCUAUUCAUGUAAUUUAUUUAAUUUAUAAUAAAUAUAAAUAAAAGAGUAGUUAAAAAUAAGGGUAAUAUUGUAAACUUACACUGUCAGGGGGUUUUUGGCCAUUAGAAAACAACAAGGGGGUAAAUGGUAUAUGUUAAUUACUGUAGAGGGGAAAGUGACAAUCCCCCUUUUGAAUAUUAUGUAUACCUUAUGUAGUUUCAAACUUUUUACUUGUAUUUGGAGACCAUUUAAAGUUGUUGUUGAAGAAGUGUAGAAAGAUGAAAAAUAACUUCAUCUUACAACAACUGUGAAAGAUAUUAAAAUAAUAUUUUUUCAAAAUCCAAUUUUUAGCAUAAAUUUCAUCCUUAAUUAAACAUCACAUGUAUUAUAUAAAUGAAAAACUAACAUUAUUCAAUUUAAAUUAAAAAAUAAUAAAUAUAUGAGGUAAUAAAUAUUAUAACGAGUUUUUAUUUUAAAAUUGUAAACUUUUGUUUCUGACAGUAACUCUUAUAUUAAUUUACUUAUUUUGCCUUUUAUUCAUAAGUUUUAUGCAUAAUCUACAAACUUUAUGUUUUAUUUUGCAUUUAAUGUUGAUUUACCUUUUUUAUAUUAUAUUUAUAAGUUUUCAUUUGAUUUACCAGUAAUACAUCAAUUUAUCAAUUUUAUAGUAAUUUACUUAUUUUACCUUCUUUUUACAAUUCUUAUGUUUCAUUUUCAAAAUUUAUGUUUUAUUUUACAGUUAUUGAUGAUUUACUAGUUUUAUAUUAUGUUUGCAAGUUUUUGUUUUAUUUACUAGUAAUAAAUUAAUGGGUAAUUUUUAAUUUAGUCCUCAUGUUUUCGAGAAAAAAAUUCAGAGACUAGAAAUUUACUAAAUGAAUCAAUUAAAUUAUUUCAAGCACAAACUAAUGUCAAUCAAGUCCUUAACUUAAUUGCUUAGUUAAAAAUAUUAACAACAUUGAGGAUAUUUUAGUAAAACAACAAUUGAGCCCUUCCUCAUUCUUUAUUUUUGACAUGUGGCAAUAGUUUAAAGUAAAUUCAAUUAACCUAAUUAAGUUAAGGAUCAGUUCUUGCAAACGAAAAAAAAAAAAAAACCUACAAAAACUGCCAUAAUCUUCGUGUGAGAGGAGAGAUCGAGAGAAUGUGGGAUGGUGCCAAAAAUGUUGUAUAAAUCUACUAUGAUUUUGACCAAAGCUUUGUUAGCAUUUGUUGAGUUCAAGUACUGGAGAGAACCUAAUUAUAAAGGUCAGUAACUCUAUUUUUUUAGUGAUUUUUGCAAGCGUUUUUUGAUAAAAUUGUUUCCAUAUUUAGUGAUCGUUGUGAAAAAUUAGGUUUUUCAAGUCUAUUUUUCUAAAUGACAAACUAUGUUUAAUUACUGGUGGUUUUUUUUUUAUUGAAUGUGGUAUUUUGUUAAUACAUUGUUUUUAAUUUGCUCUUCAUGUAAUUAUUAGACCAAAUACGCCAUAAUUAUAUUUGUAUUCAUUUCAACCAAUUGGUAUUGUUAUAUUAAUAAGAUUGAAUUCAUUGUAUUUGCUUCUUUGUUCAUGCAAAAAUUGAAUUCUAUGUGUUCUUAUGAGUGGUAAUUUUUCUAUAUAUUAGAAUAAAUUCACAAUAGUUGCUAAUUUCUUUCUUUUUGCUGGGUUAUUUUUUCUUUUUAGUUUUUAUUUUUUAUAUGUAUUAGAUUGAAUUUGCUUUUGUACUUUUUUUAGCCGAAUUACAUGUAUAUUUCAUUUAGGUUAAGUUUUUUUGUUCUUUGCUAAAUAAAAUUGUAUUGGUUUAUCCUUUUUUGUUGCAAUACUUUUUGUUUUAAAUUGAUGCAAGUAGCCAUGUUACCUUUUGUUUUUCAGUUAAAAUUAAUGGGGUGGUGUAUGAGAUAGGAUAUAGAGAACCAGAGGAAUAUAAGAUUAUUAGGUUGUUUCAUGAAAUUCAAGAAUUCAUGGUUAAGCAUGGACAUAAUGAAAUGGAUAUGAUUGAAAUUUCUAUUGUAUUGCCAUGGACUACAAGUAGGCAGAAAAAGCUAAUUUCAAACGAUAGUGAAUUGUAUUGGGUUUUUUAGGAGUUUUUUUUUUUAUCAAUAGUUGUCAUGUCAUUGAGUUUGAGGUGCACACUGGGUCAGGUGGUCAGUCAUGUCAUGAAAAUGUUGUAAUAGGAUCUGAAAAUCUUAUCAAUAUAGCGGUUGGGUGGGUAGUGAUAAGUUUGAAAAAUUUAGUGAGGAUGGCUUUAUCGGAGGGCUCUCAUCUAAUGAAGAGAAUGGUCUCUCACAUAUGUAUAAAUCCAUUGUUGAUAAUGAGUAGAAACCAAAUCCAAAUAGUUUAAUUAGUCUAAAAGUAGGAAAUACAUUUGAAUCUGUUGCAUUAUUAAGAGAGGUUAUAAUGAAGUAUGCAAUCGAAGAGGGUUUUUAGUUGAAUAGGAUUAAAAAUGAUGGUGUUAGGUAUUAUGUCAAUCUAAAAUGCACUUGGAAACUUAAUGCUUCAUCGAUGGUUGACGGGAUAACUUUUAAAAUUAGGUAUAUUAAAGGGAAACAUGAUUGUCAGAUUAAAUAAGUUAACAAAGAUGCAACAGCACAUUGGAUGAUGUACAUGUCAUAAUGAGAGAGCUAAAAGAUAAACAUAGGAUUGAAUGUGAUAAACAAGAACUAUGCAGGGCAAAAGAAAUUGCACUAAAAAACCUAGGUCUUGACCAUGUUGCUUGCUAUGGAAAGCUUUUGAAAUAUGCUCACAUUCUAAUGAAAAUGAGUAGAGGUGCUUGUGUCAAGCUAAAGUUGAUAGGCCAUUGUCAAAUAGCCUAGUUUUUCAAAGGUUUUUUUAUCAUUUCCCGCACUUAAAGUGGGGUACCUAACUGGGUGUAGACCUUUCAUAAGAUUGGAUGGGUGUCACUUGAAUGGGCCAUAUAGGGGAGUAUUGUUAUCUGUUGUUGCAUUAGAUGCUGACAGUAGAAUUUUGCCACUGGCUUUUUGCAUAUGUGAGGCAGAAAACUAUGAUAGUUGGGGUUAUUUUUUUUAUCUUUUUUGUAUGAAUUCAUUGGGGCCGAUGAUCAUAGACCUGUGACUAUUAUUAGUUAUAGACAAAAAGGUCUUUUAUGGCGACUAAAAAAAUAUUAGCCUAAUGCUAGCACUAGAUAUUGUGCUAGGCAUAUCUUUGCCAAUUGGAAGUGCAGGUUUCCUGGUUUGAAUGUGAUGGGGUUAUUCUGGAAAGCUUGUAGGGCUGCAAAUCAAUAUGACUUUGAGAGGGCAAUGAGUUAAAUUAGGGCUAAAGACCAAAAUUGUUGUUGCUUAAAGAUUGUGGGAAUAUGAGAUAUUUCCUUGGAAACCAGCAUUGGCUCUAAGUUAUUGCUUAAAGAUGUCAAACAUGUACCAUAUAUUCUUCUUAAUUUGAUCUCUACAGGCAAGCUUGAUGAUGAUGGUUAUACCAACUAAUUUGGUGAAGGAGUAUGUAAGCUCACCAAAGGCUCCUUAGUGUUAGUUAAAGAGAGGAAAGUAAACACCCUCUAUGUGUGAUAACUCUAUGAAACGAGAGUUAUUAUAGAAAUUCUAAACUUAAAUCAAUAUUACUUACAGAGUAAAUGAUGUGUUUCUAUUGUAUUUUUGUUACAUUGUGUAUAAACAUUCAUUUUAGUUUAGUCUUAAUAAAUUUUGCUUAAUUUAGAAUAAUUCGUGCUUAAAUUGUGUGCAUAAUUAUAGGUGUCUAGAAGCUCAUAUCUCAUGGAAGGAGUGUUGAUGCAAUAGGCUUGUAAAAAUGAGGAAGAACAUGGCUACAAAAGAAUUGAAACAAAUCUGGAAUAAUGUAGUGUUGUAGCCGUUCUUGUAGCAACCAUUGCUGUAGCAAUCCUGGAACAACGAUAGAGAAAAUUUAGCACGAGAUACUUGUAGAAUCAAGAUCUGCAAUUUCUUAAUUUGACUUAUGCGCGCCCUGGGCUUCUGUUUACCCUAGUUUUCAGUUAUAAAAAGAGCACGCAUCAUAUGGUAAAAGGGGCGGUGAAUUAACAGCAAAGAAAUCAAGAGGAAAAGAAUGAAAAAUCAGAAUUCAAGGGAGAACAAGUCUGCACCAGUGAAGAUAUUGGCAUAACUAUUUGGAUUCAAUUUUCAUCGUUCUUUACUUAUCCCUUUUCUUACUCUUUGAUUGAACCGAUGGAUUUCAUCGCUGAUACUUUGUUGUUUGUUUUUCUUUUCCAAAGUAUGAACUAAAUUUGAUUGUAAUUGAGUGACAAACAAUCUCAAUGGGUUCUUGACUGUUCUUAUGAGUUAUUAAAAGAUUGCUGUAGCAUUUUGCUGUAAUAGCUUAUAUUAGAAUUAUUAUUUCGGUUGACCUCCCAUUUAAUGGUUCAAGUUAAGAGAGAGCCACAAAAUGGCAUGUCUUAGUGGAAAUUAUUAGAGUAAUACUUGAUCUUAAUUUAAGUUUUCUGGAUUGAGUUUAACUUGAGCCCCAAAAGAGCCACACUUGAGUUAAGAUUUGUGAAGAACUAGAUAUAGGGAUUCACCUUAUAGGGUAGAGGGGGUGUAUGUUCAUAAUGCCAUACCUUAGGUGAAAUGACAACUGGUCAUUGUUAGAGUGCUUAAGGGUAUGAGAAGUCCAACAAGCGACAGCUGAGGAUGCAAAAUAAUUUUGCACUGUGCUGUUGGAAUUGCUGUAAUAACUGGUGUUUAUUUGAACAGAACAGUCAGCCCAUGAAUAGAGUUUGAUCAUUCAGCUACCUCAUUCUCAUUAAAUUCUUCUUUACGCAAUUCAUCUAAUUUACUUUAUUACUGCAUUUAUUUUAUUAAAAUUGUUAAUUUCGGUAGUAAUAAACUUUAAUUAGAUUUCUCUUUAGAUAAAAGAAAUUUGCACUGUCGUGAUUGCUAUAGCAUUUCUAGUAAUAUCAGUUCAUGUGGAGACGAUCUUGAAUAUUCAUCAUUUUAUUACUUGUUGUGUACACUUGCACAUGAUAUCAAUAGCAAUUGAGUUAAAUUAAAUAACAAGUUUUUGGCGCCGUUGCCGGAGAUUGAUUGUUUAUUUUUGAAGUGUGAAGUCAAUCUUGACAAAUGCCAACUUGAUCUAAUUCAUUCUAUUUAUUGACAGAUCAUGACUUGCAUGGGCAAAGGCAGAUCUGUUGAAUUUCAAUUUGAUCCUGAGAUUGAAAGGACUGUAAGGAGAUUGCGAAGAGAGUGAAGAAAUUCAAAAACUGUUUCAAAAAUGGAUAACUUGCAAGAUGUGGGAAACUUGGAUCCUCACGGGCCACUACAACCUGUCAAUGUUCAAGAGGGGCAAAUGGGCACGUUAAUCAAAGACAACCAAGCAACAACAAUAUCAUUUACAUGGAAGACGAUAGAGAUAGGGUUAUCAGAGAUUAUGUUGUGUUAACUCCUUAAGUUGUACAUCUUGGAAUAGUCAGACCUGAAGUGGAAGCCGCCAACUUUGAACUUAAACCGGUAAUGUUUCAAAUGCUACAAAUAGUGGGUCAAUUUAAUGGACUGUCAUCUGAAGAUCCUCAUCUCCAUCUUAAGUUUUUUUUGGAAGUAAGUAAUGCUUUUAAAACUGCUGGAACAACGCAUAAUGCUUUGAGACUGAGGCUUUUUCCUUACUCCUUAAGAGAUCGAGCAAGAGCAUGGUUGAAUUCCUUACCAUCUGAUUCCAUCACUACAUGGAAUGACUUGGCUGACAAAUUCUUAAUGAAAUAUUUUCCACCAACCAAGAAUGAAAAAUUGCAAAAUGAGAUCACCUCUUUUCAUCAACUUGAAGAUGAGAGCUUGUUUGAGGCUUGGGAGAGAUUUAAAGAGUUUCUCAGAAGAUGUCCUCAUCAUGGCAUUCCCUGUUGCAUACAGCUAGAAACCUUUUACAAUGGGUUGAAUCCAAGUACAAGAUUGAUUGUCGAUGCUUCAGCAAAUGGAGCCCUAUUAUCCAAAUCUUACACUGAAGCUUAUGAAAUUUUGGAGAGAAUUCCUAACAAUAACUACCAGUGGCCAUCAACUGAAAAACUGUAGCAAGAGAAGCAGCAGGGGUACAUAACAUAGAUGCAAUUACAGCACUGUCAGCUCAAGUAACAUCAUUGACUAACAUGGUAAAAGCCAUGACUUCUACUUCUACAGUAGUAAAGCAAGUUGCUGAACUAUCUUGUGUGUAUUGUGGUGAGGAGCAUGUAUUUGACAAACUGUCUAGGAAAUCCAGCAUCAGUAAACUAUGUGGGAAACUUCAACCGACAGCCCUAGAACAACCCAUAUUCAAGUACUUACAACCCUGGAUGGAAUCAACACCCAAAUUUCUCAUGGAGCAAUCAAAAUCAGCAUGCUUCAGCACCUAGUGGACAGAACAAACAUGCUCAUCCACUUGGUUUUCAUCAGCAAAAUUAAGAGCAAAAACACACUAGCCAUGAUCAAAUCACCUCAUUGGAAACACUUUUUAAGGAAUGUAUCGUAAAGAAUGAAGCAAUUGUGCAAAAUCAAGCUGUAUCUCUGAGAAACCUGAAAAACCAAAUUGGACAGUUUGCCACAGCAAUGAGUAGUAGAUCUUAGGGAAGUUUACCCAGCAAAACAGAAGAUCCAAGAAGAGAGGUAAAAAACAUUGUAAAGUAAUCAACUUAAGAUAUGGGAAGAAUGUUGAUAUUGCUGUUGAUGUGACUAAAAAGAGGUUGGAACUUAACUCCUCACAAGAACCACCUCAAGAUGAAAUGAUGUUACAGCAACCCAGCCACUAAGAUACUGGCACUAGUGGUCAAGCUACAGCAACCUUGGAAGAAAAUCACCCAAUACCUAUUGAAGAAGAUGUUGCAACACCAGUGGUGACAAAUUACAAUAAAUCAAAUGAGCAGAUAUUGGUACCUCUUGAAGUUGUACAACAAUUUAGGCAUCCACCUCCUUUCCCACAGAGAUUCCAGAAACAAAAACAAGACUAAUAGUUUAGCAAAUUCCUGAAAGUGCUGAAACAGUUACACAUCAACAUACCUUUUGUGGAAGCAUUAGAGCAAAUGCCUAAUUAUGUGAAAUUUCUAAAAGAUAUUUUAACAAGAAAAAGAAGGUUGGGAGAAUUUGAAACUGUUGCUUUAACACAGGAAUGCAGUCACAUGUUUCAGAGUAAGAUUCCUAAAAAAUUAAAGGAUCCAGGAAGCUUCACAAUAUCAUGUUCAAUUGGAACUAAGUACAAUGGCAGAGCACUCUGUGACUUGGAGCCAGCAUUAAUCUAAUGUCAUUAUCUCUAUUUAAGCAAUUAGGAGUAGACUUUGAGUCUGAUAAAGAGGUACCAAUUAUAUUUGGAAGACCUUUCCUGGCAACCAGGAAGACUCUGAUAGAUGUUCAGAAAUGAGAGCUAACCAUGAGGGUGAAUGACCAACAAGUCACCUUCAAUGUAUUAGAAGCUAUGAAGAGUCCUGAUGAGGCAGAAGAUUAUAAUUUUUUUAGUGUUGUGGACCUUGUUGUGGCAGACAGAAUAAAUAGAUGCUGCAGUAAAAAGGUUAUCAAAGCUGCCACCUUUGAAAGCUUUGAAGAAGAAAAUGUUACAGCAAACCAGAUAGAUUGGAUGGUAGAAAGGCAAUCUAAAAGACAUAGCAGAUUUAUCGAACCUCUAAAUCUUUCAAACAGGGACAUAAAGACAACUUUACCAUCUAUUGAAUCAACUCCUACUCUUGAAUUAAAAUUGUUACCUUCACAUUUGAAAUAUUCAUAUCUUGGUGAGAACAAUACACUUCCGGUAAUCAUUUCAUAUUCUUUAGAUGCAGAUCAAGAAAGAAGUCUGGUAUAUGUGCUUAGGAAAUAAAGAAAAACAAUUGGAUGGACUAUGACAGACAUUAAACGGAUCAGCCCAUCCAUAUGCAUACAUAAAAUUCUGUUAGAAGACUGCUAUAGCAAUUCAGUAGAGCAACAGAGAAGGCUAAACCCCAUUAUGAAGGAAGUUGUAAAGAAAUAAAUCAUCAAAUGGCUGGAUGUUGGGAUCAUAUACCUGAUAUCAGACAGUUCAUGGGUGAGCCCAGUACAAUGUGUUCCAAAGAAAUAAGGAAUAACAGUAAUAGAAAAUGAAAAGAAUGAACUUAUUCCUACAAGAACAAUGACUGGAUGAAGGGUAUGUAUGGAUUAUAAGAAGCUCGACAAAGCCACACGGAAGGAUCACUUCUACUUUCAUUUAUAGAUCAAAUGUUAGACAGAUUUGCUGGAAAAUAAUAUUAUUGUUUCCUAAAUGGGUAUUUAGGUUACAACCAAAUUGUUAUACCCCCAGAAGAUCAGGAAAAGACUACAUUCACCUGUCCUUAUGGAACUUUUGCCUUUAAAAGAAUGCCCUUUGGUCUGUGUAAUGCUCCAGCAACUUUCCAGAGAUGUAUGAUGUCUAUUUUCUCAGAUAUGGUGGAGCAAACAUUGGAAGCCUUCAUGGAUGAUUUCUCAGUUUUUGGAGAAACAUACACUGAUUGUUUACAUAACUUGGAAGAAGCUCUUAAAAAAUGUGAGAUGACUAACUUAGUACUCAAUUGGGAAAAAUGCCACUUCAUGGUGCAAGAAGGCAUAAUGUUGGGUCAUAGAGUGUCCAAGAAUGGCAUAGAGGUAGAUAAAGCAAAAAUAGAAGUGAUAGAUAAACUGCCACCUCCCACUUCAGUCAAGGGUAUUAUAAGUUUUUUGGGACAUGUUGAAUUCUACAGAAGAUUCAUAAAAGACUUCUCCAAAGUAGCUAAACCAUUAUGCUCACUACUAGAACAUGACAAGCCUUUUCAUUUUGAUAAAGACUGUCUUUAAGCUUUUAAAGAAUUGAAGAAAAUUUUGAUCAUUGCACCAAUGGUUAUAACACUAGAUUUGACUCUAUCUUUUGAGCUGAUGUGUGAUGCCAGUGACCACUCUGUUGGGGCAGUGCUGGGGCAGAGAAAGAAUAAGAUUUUCCACUCUAUAUACUAUGCCAGUAAAACUCUUGUUCAAGCUCAGAUUAAUUACACCACUACAGAAAAAGAGCUGCUAGUAGUAGUAUUUGAUUUCAAUAAGUUUAAAGCUUACUUGGUGGGUACUAAAGUGACAAUCUACACAGAUCAUGCAGCCAUCAAGCACUUAAUCUCAAAGAGAGAUGCCAAACCAAGAUUAAUAAGAUGGGUAUUAUUGCUUCAAGAGUUUGAUUUGGAAAUUAAGGAUAGAAAGGGGACUGAAAAUCAAGUAGCAAACCAUCUAUCGAGGCUGAAAGCAAAUACGAGCACAUUGACUAAACAAGACAUCACUGAAACAUUUCCUGAUGAACAACUGUUAGUGCUAUAACAUGCACAGAUGCUACAGCAACCGAGAUCUCCAUGGUAUGGAGAUUUUGCUAACUACUUAGUAAGUGGAUUGCUACCACCUGGGUUGAAUUUUCAGUAGAAAAAGAAAUUUCAUUUUCAGUAGAAAAAGAAAUUUCAUUUUCAGUAGAAAAAAAAUUUUCAUUUUCAGUAGAAAAAAAAUUUUCAUUUUCAGUAGAAAAAGAAAUUUUCAUUUUCAGUAGAAAAAGAAAUUUUUUCAUGAUGUUAAAAGCUACCAGUGGGAUGAUCCAUACUUGUAUAAGUUAUGCUUAGAUCAGGUAAUCCGAAGAUGUGUUUCAGAGGAAGCAAUUUCACAUAUACUGCAAUAUGGCCAUGCUGCAGCAUAUGAAGGACAUUUUGGUGGACAAAGAACAACUGCUAAAGUUCUACAAUCAGGUUAUUACUGGCUUUCUAUUUUUAAGGAUACUUAUGAGUUUGCUAAACGUUGUGACAGAUGCCAAAAGACAGGAAACAUAACUCAAAGACAUGAAAUGUCAUUAACAAACAUUCUGGAAGUGGAGAUUUUUUAUGUAUAGGGAAUAGACUUCAUGGGCCUUUUCCCACCAUCCUUUGAGAAUUUUUAUAUCCUGGUUGCUGUGGAUUAUGUCUCCAAGUGGGUAGAAGCUGCAGCAUUACCUAUCAACGAUGCAAGAGCAAUAGUGAAUUUUCUUCAGAAAAAUAUUUUUUCCAGGUUUGGCACUCCACGAGCAAUUAUUAGUGAUGAGGGUACUCAUUUCUGCAACAAAGCAUUUGCUGCAGCAAUGGCCAAAUAUAGAGUCAAACACAAAAUUGCGACAGCAUAUCACCCACAAUCCAAUGGCCAGGCAAAAGUAUCUAAUAGGGAAAUUAAGAAGAUUCUAGAAAAGGUAGUGAAUCCUUCAAGAAAGGAUUGGUCAUUGCGAUUACAUAAAUCUUUAUAGGCUUUCAGAACAGCAUAGAAGACACCACUUGGCAUGUCUCCCUACCAAAUUGUGUAUGGAGCACAAAGCAUAUUGGGCACUGAAGCAAUUAAAUUAGGAUAUACAUGCUGCAACAGAGCAGAGGAAACUUCAACUAUGUGAACUUGAUGAAUUACGGUUAUUCUCAUAUGAAAAUGCAAGAAUCUAUAAGGAGAGAACAAAACAAUGGCAUGACAAGCACAUCCAAUAAAGAAAAUUAAUCCCUGGUCAACUAGUUCUGCUCCAUAAUACUAGGUUAAGACUAUUUCCAGGAAAGCUGAAAUCUAGAUGGUCUGGACUUUUCAAGCUGCUCAGAAUUUACCCUCAUGGGGCUGUUGAACUCUUAGAUGGAAAGACAGGCCAAGAAUUCAAAGUUAAUGGGCACAGAGUUAAGCAUUACAUGCAUUCAGUUACAGAUUGUUCAAAUGAGGUCGUACUCCUUAGUAAACCGGCAUUGUGAGCAUUCAAGAAAGGUCACGUUGAAGGACCUUAAAUCAAACAUUGAAUGGGAGGCAACCCAUUGCUGAGGCAGUCAUUUCAAAUGAAGUGGAUCCUCCAUGUUUUUGUUGUAGUAUUUAUUUAUUUAUUAUUUUUCUUAGUUAGGAUUGUUUAAUUUUUAUCUUUUAUUGUUUUAUUUUAAAAAAAAACGAAACAUGCCAAGUCACGCAAUUCUUAGAGUUGGAUUCAAUACUGACAAUUGGUGUUGUAAUAUUAACAGGUUACAAAGGCAAGUUACUUGACAGCAACCAUCUGAGGAGAUUGUUGUGCAGAUUGCUAGAGCAUACAUUUUGUUGCUGCAACAACCAAUUUUAUUAUUACAGUAACUUAACUACGGAGCCUCACAUUUUACCGUUGGAGAUAACAUGUGACAGCUAGUUGGGUGAACUCAGAUAAAGAUUGGGGAAGAAUGCAUAAUCUCUUAAAUAACUGCAUCAAUAUCUCUUUCCUAUUUUUAUGGGAUAUGCUUAAUAAAUUCAAAAAUUCUUCCCUAAUUUAUCUCUUUUACCAAAUUUAUUUUAUUUAUUUUGCACCUAUAUAAGAGUUUCAUUGUGCAUGUUGACCUCUAACACUAUUUUCUUUUCCCUUCACAGUCACAACCCCUCUAUUUUAUAACCUCUGCUCUUCGUUUCACUCUUGAACAUAUUACCACAGUUAUCCUACUACUGCAGUAAUGCCAAGGUAUAAAAGGACAGCCAGCCGACUAAACGAUCUAUCACAAUUUUAAAGUUACCAUGCGGAAGAGAAGUAUGAAGAAUUUAUUGAACCGCGCAAGAUUUUGGAAGAAAAAGGGCUUCAGUUCCCACCUCAACCCUCUAGAAUUGUGCAAUCAUUAUACGAUGCUGCAGCAAAGCACGGGUGGCUGGAGUUUUGUAACCACCCCCGAGAUCCUGUGUUGGAGCUAUUUGCAGCACUUGGAGGACCACCUACACCAAUUUGUUGUAUAUAUAAAAGUACCCAUAACAAUUUCCCUGAUUCACUGCUACAACAGUACAAUUUUGGUACCUCCAUUAUAGAAGUCAGUGAAGAUGUUGCUGACACAGAUAAACAUGAGGAAGAAACAGCAGCAGAACAGCAAGCAGAUGCUGAUAUAGAUGCUGAUAACCAGUCAGACCAGCAUGAAGAAUAAUGUGUCCAGUCUACAAUUGAUAGUUCCCCGACAGAGGAGGAGGAAAAGCAUGAGAAAGAACUCGAAGAACCCUCAGCCAGGACCUUUUCCAAGUCCAGGAAAAAGCACAUCAUACGAGAAAAGGAAGAUGAACCUGCAGAGGAGCCUCCCAUUCCAUUCCUCUCUCGAAAGGGCAAAGAGAAAGUAAUUACCCCUCCUGCAUCUGACGAUGAAGCCGAGCACAUUGAUGCAGAAUUGGAAGUUGCAGCAGCCAGGGUUACUCGUACACCCAUCGAGACAAAGCAUAUGCUUGAUAUCAUUGCCGCAAUCAUGACUGAGGGGUAUACAGUCGAAGACCCAACUCCAGCUCCCUCACGGCAAACCCCCAGCAAACCUAUUCUCGCUAGUCCUAAAGGACCCAGCAAAAGAAAGGGGGGCACUUCUGGAGGCAUUGCUGCAGUAGACACACCAGAGCCAAAGAGGACCAUAUCUGUUUUGUCCCAGCCAGCUGCACCCACUGCAACUCCUCCUACUAGCCCAUCGCAAAGAAAGAAAAAGUCAUUGCCAACUACCUCACCGCAAGAAUCUCCUAAAGACCGACUGCGGAGCGCCUCCAAAAAGCGGUGAAUUGGUUAUAAUUUAUUGCAGCAGUAUUUCUAGCACCAGGGGAGUACCACUACCCGCUAGUUUAUUUUACUUCUUCAUGCAACAACUUUUUCUUCAUUUAGUUUUAAUUUUCUGAUUUAUUUUGCAUGUCUUUUUAUUUAGUAUAUGCAUAUCUGGUUUAUAUGGUUUUGUUUUGUGUGCCUGUGAAGACACAACACCUUUCAAGUUUUGGGGGGUUGUGCUAUCAUAUAGUGUGUUAUUGAGUGCAUUGCAUGUGUUGUGGUGUUGUUUGUGAAGUGAAGCUCUGUAUCUACUGCUUAUGUAUGGAUUUGAAAGCCUAAUGAAGAUAAAUUGAGUGUUACUCAGUAUGUAUGAGAAUGCCCAGUAGGGAUAGUCAUAGAUGGAGAUUGAAAUUAUGUCCCGACACUUAGACUUUGGUUGAAAUUCAUGAGACUGCUGCAGCAAAAUCAAGAAAACUGCAAAGAGUAGAAAAUAUAUCAAGUUUAGGGGAAAUGUGUGUGUUGAGUUGUGCUUAUUAAAGUCUGUUCCAAUGGCUUAAAUGGUUGAGUAACUACGGCUGAGUAUGUACCCCAUAUGCAGACUUGAGUUAAAAAGCAACAAGAGUUAUGAGCAUUGUUGUAGCAAUUGAAAAAAAAAAGAAAAAAAAAAGAAGUCCUCUGUCUGAGAAAUUGAGUAGCCAUGUCUGUUAAUGAGCCCCAUGUUCAGCCUUGAGUUAAAGAUAUCUUUAGAUAAGACUAUGUUAUGACCAUUGCUAUAGCAACUCUGACAUGUACGUUGAGUAAGUAAUUGGGUGUCAUCAUUACAAGUGAUAGGCAUUCACAUGAAAGUUCAAUGUUGUAUUGAAGGGAGUGAAUAUAUAGAUAUAUAUAUAUAUAUAUAUAUUGUUUGUUGAAGCACAAUUUAUGUUUAUUUGUGAAUUAUGCUCUCCCAUAUAUGAAUAUAUUUGUGUUCUACCUUUGAAUUACAUGCAAUAUCUCUGUAAUGUUGUAGCAUCUCUGGACUUUGAUCAAAGUGGCACACACAUUUUGGACAGAAUGCAGCCUAAGUCUAGAACUGAACUGUUAUGGCUAUUUUGCAUGAUUAAGAGUGUGAUCUGAGGGUGGAAGAAUCCUUGCAACUUUGAUGAUAAAGCUGAGCUAUUUGUUGCAUGAUUGAGUGAUUGAAGUGUUAGCAUUGUUGUCAUUACUUAAAAACAAGUAAUGGUUUAAGUUUGGGGGUGUGAUAACUCUAUGAAAUGAGCGUUAUUAUGGUAAUGCUAGAAUUAAAUCAAUAUUUACUUAGAGAGUAAAUAAUGUGUUUCUAUUAUAUUUUUCUAUUGUAUUUAAUAAAUUUUACUUAGUUUAGAAUAAUUUGUGCUUAAAUUGUGUGCAUAAUUGUAGGUGUCCAGAAGCUCAUAUCUCAUGGAAGGAGUGCUGAUGCAAUAGGCUUGUAAAAAUGAGGAAGAACAUGGCUACAAAAGAAUUGAAACAAAUCUGGAACAAUGUAGUGUUGUAGCCGUUGCUGUAGCAACCAUUACUGUAGCAAUCCUGGAACAACGACAGAGAAAAUUUAGCGCGGGAUACUUGUAGAAUCGAGAUCUGCAGUUUUCUAAUCUGACUUAUGCGCGUCUUAGGCUUUUGUUUACCCUAAUUUUCAGUUAUAAAAAGAGCACGCAUCAUAUGGUAAAGGGGGCGGUGAAUUAACAUCGAAUAAAUAAAUCAAGAGGAAAAGAAGGAAAAAUCAGAAUUCAAGGGAGAGCAAGUUUGCACUAGUGAAGAGAUCGGCAGAACUAUUUGGAUUCAAUUUUCAUCAUUCUUUACUUGUCCCCUUUCUUACUCUUUGAUUGAACCGAUGUAUUUCAUGGCUGAUACUUUGUUGUUUGUUUUUCUUUUCCAAAGUAUGAACUAAAUUUGAUUGUAGUUGAGUGACAAAUAAUCGCAAUGGGUUUUUGACUAUUCUUAUGAGUUGCUGAAAAAUUGAUGUAGCAUUUUGCUCUAAUAGCUUAUAUUACAAUCAUUAUUUCGGUUGACUUCUCAUUUAAUGGUUAAAGUUAAAAGAAAGCCGUAAAAGGGCCUGUAUUAGUGGAAAUUAUUAGAGUAAUACUUGAUCUUAAUUUAAGUUUCCUAAAUUGAGUUUAACGUGAGUGCCAAAAUAGCCACACUUAAGUUAAGAUUUGUGAAGAACUAGAUAUAUGGAUUCAUCUUGUAGGGUAGAGGGGGUGUAUGUUCAUAAUGUCAUACCUUAGGUGAAAUAACAACUGGUCAUUGUUAGGGUGCUUAAGGGUAUGAGAAGUCCAACAAGAGACAGUUGAGGAUGCAAAAUAAUUAUGCCCAUGAAGAGAGUUUGAUCAUUCAGCUACCUCAUUCUCUUUAAAUUCUUCUUUACGCAAUUCAUCUAAUUUACUUUAUUACUGCAUUUAUUUUAUUAAAAUUGUUAAUUUCAGUAGUAAUCAACUUUAAUUAGAUUUCUCUUUAGAUAAAAGAAGUUUGCACUGUCGUGAUUGCUGUAGCAUUUCUAGUAACAUCAAUCCAUGUGGAGACGAUCUUGAAUAUUCAUCACUUUAUUACUUGUUGUGUACAUUUGCAUAUGACAUCAAUAACAAUUGAGUUAAAUUAACCAACAAUGUGUUAGAAGCCAAGAUUAAGAAAGAAGAUGUGAAUGUGGCUAUAAAAGAUUCUGACAUUGAGACAUGGUAUAAAAAGUUUGGUCACAUUGGUGAAAAAGGGUUAGAAACUCUUGCCAGAAAAAGAUUUCUACCCAGCUUCGUAGAUAUGUCCCUCAAGACUUUUGCUCAUUCCUUAGCUGGAAAGACACACAGAGUAGCUUUUAAAAGGUUUUCUCCAUCUAGAAAGUCGCAAAUCCUUGAUUUGAUUCACACUGAUUUUUGCAUGAUGUAAAGUAGAUCAAUUGGAGGUGCACUUUAUUUUGUUACUUUUAUUGAUGACUAUUCUACAAAGGUGUGGGCUUUUGCUUUGAAAUCUAAAGAUCAAGUGCUUGAUAUAUUUAAGUUCUUCCAUACUUAUUUUGAGAGAGAGACGAGAAGAAAAUUAAAAUGCGUCAGGGUAGAUAAUGGUGGUGAGUAUAAAAGGCCAUUUGACCAAUAUUGCAGAUCCCAUAGAAUUAGACUUGAGAAGACCGUACUAAAACCCCACUGUAGAAUGGUAUUGCAGAAAUGAUGAACAGAACAAUUGAAAAGAGAGUCAGGUGUAUGCCUUCUGAUGCCAAGCUUCAUAAAUCCUUCUGGGCAGAGACUAUGCGUUCUGCAGUUGACUGGAUUAAAUUUUUCUCCUUCAGCUCCAUUGAUGGUGAUGUACCUGAGAUAGUUUGGACUGAAAUAUAUGUUUAUUACAAACACUUGAGAGUGUUUGGUUACAGAAUAUAUGUUCACAUUCAUAAGGAUGAAAGAUCGAAGCUUGAUGACAAAGCUAAAAAAUGCAUUUUCUUAGGCUAUGGGCAUAAAGAAUUUGGGUACAGAUUAUGGGAUCCAGUGCCAAGAAAAUUGAUCAGAAGUAAACAUGUUGUGUUCCUCGAAGAUCAAAUAGUUAGUGAUGCAGAGAAUAGUGAUGAGUCUCAGUCAUCUCUAAAGAUUCCUAUUAUUCUAACUUUAGUUUCUUCAUCUAUAGUUCAUAAUGAUCAUGGAGGAGCUGGAGAGGAUAGUAAUGAUGGUCCAGCAGAACUAGUUGACCAAGCACCUCCAGAACCACCUGCACCAUCAAUGGAGCCUGAAUUGAGAAGAUUUACUAGAGAACGGUGACCUUCCACCAGAUAUCCUCCACAUGAGUAUAUGAUGCUUACAGAUGAAGGGGAGCCAUAAUGUUUUGAAGAAGCCAUGUUUCAAAUAACUCACAAUAACGAUACAAGGCUAGACUGGUUGAUGGGGUACCUAGCAACUUCUUGUUGUGUGGGCUGAUCAGACUUUACUUUCUUAGUUUCUGAUUCUUCUUAUGCUUGCAUUGUUACAGCAUAUACGGAGGGUUGUGCCUUUUUACGCUUGUUGGAUGCCCUAGGAGUUCUGCUAGGAGAUUUGAUGGGAGGUUGUUGAGUAAUGCUUACUGUAGUAGUUUCCCCAGAUGUGAUUUUAGCAAUAAUAUCAGGGAAACUCUUAUUUGCUUCAUCAGUUUUUGUAGCCCUGGUAUCAGCUGCUUUAAUUUCUGCAUCAAUAUCAUCUUGAUCAUUGUCUGAUUCUUCAUCAGUCAGAACUUUUUGUUUACCUUUACUUAGAAACACUGUAAUCGGGGGUUCAUCAUCCUGCCCAUCCUAUGUCUCAUCUUCGUAAACUUUUAUGAUGUGCUUCUUUUUACGUUUAGGAGGUACUACUGGAGGUGCCUCAUCCUUCUACGUUGCUGAUUCGUCUUCUGUACUAUAUUCCUCCUCUAUUUCUUCUUAUUAUUUUUCCUUCUUCUCUUUCUCUUCCUCUGCUGGUAGUGGGUCUUUUUCAGAUUCUAAUUCUUCUUCACUCUCUGCUGCUGCCUCAACUACUGGAGCAUCCCUUGUUAAUGUUUGGAAAUUAAACGGCUACAACAAGGAGUCAUGGAAAUCUUUGCUCUUUUUCUUCAUGUAGACUUCAAACUAAUGUCUAUGGUUUUCAAGGUGCAUUAAAUAAUUCCUGAAUCUUUGAUUUUGUUCUUUCCAUGCGUGUACACAUUCAUUAAUGGUGUCACUUAAUUCUUGCAGCUUCAUCUCAAUGCCAGUAACGUUCAUUGCUCUGGUCACAACAACAUACUCUGGUGUUGCUGUAGUAGUAGUUUCCCUAGCAAUUCUUUCAACAAUUCGAUCAGUAAGAGCUCAUUCAUUCUUAAUGCUUUCAUCUUUUGCUGAUAUUUUCACCCGAAAUACCAGACAAAUCCUAGUAAUGAGUGAGCGAAACAACAAAGCAGCAAUCUUGUGAUUUUUCAUGGCACACUCUAAUCUCCCUCUCUAUAAUUUUCCUCACAUCAAUUGGUAUACCCUUGAAAAUGGCAUAUAAUAGGUAAGAUUUUCAUGAGAUACGGUGGUGGUGUAUGUGGUGGGUAUCAAUCGAGAUUUUAGAAAUUUUACCCACACUUUGGCUACUGGUUUCAAAUCAAUUCUAUUCACUCCUCUGCCUUCCUCAUUCAACCAUGAACUACCCUCCACCAUAAGGAUUUCAAGCACAUCACUUCACUCCUUAGCAAUCAUAUUCUCAAUCAUUUUUGAAUACUCACAAUCAAUAUCAUAUGGUAAAUUAUAAAAAAGCAUUGAUUACCCUCGGAUCUAAAGGGACUUGAACAUUCCUUACCACUAUUGUGCAUUGGUCUUGCCGCAACAUGUUGGAGUAAAAUUCCUUAACGAUUGGGAGCACAAGGUCUCGUGGGUGAGUGUAAAAAUCUAGCCAUCUUUUCUUUGCUACAGCAACAUAGAUUGUGUUGAUUGUUCCUGAUGGUUGUUGAGGGAAUUGAAAAUCAUUUUCCUCUAAAAUCUUCUUAGGCUCUAUAAAUUCUUCAAAUUAUCCUCGGCUUUGUCACUAUGGAAGCGUGAGGGGUCCUUUAGUCGAGCAGUUGUCUUCUUGUACCACGUUAUUGCUAGAGCAACAAAACUGAGUUGUUGGGUACCUAAAAAAGAAAAAACUCAUGAAAGUGACUCUAAAGUAUGUGGAGAACUGUGGACUAGAAGAGAAAAAAUUUGGAUAAGAAUGAAAAGAAGCAUUGUGAAACCCUAAUUUAUAGGUCACGGUAAAAUAGAAAAAAAUAAUUAAUGAGGUAAAUUUAGAAAUUGUAUUUGAAAUUUAAAAUAAAUCCACAUUUACGUUCGGGAAUUUAGGGAUUAUGUAAUCCAUUCUUAUUUUUUAUCUUGAUUUCUUGAGCCAUCUAUCAAAAAUUUACUCCCAACGGUGCAAAAAUACUUUCCAUAGUUAUGUCACUAUAACGGUAAGAAUCAUUGCUACAACAAGUAAUAUAGUGCUGCAGCAACUGCGAUAAAGUCCCUAGUUUGAUGAGAACCAUUGUUCAACUGUCAUAUAAAGUGUAAUGCUGCAACAUCUUGUGUCAGUGUUUUAUCCAAAAAAAAUUCAUUAUUAUUUAUACAUGCCGUAAUAAAAUAAUAGACACAAAUAAAUUAGAUAAAAACUUCAAAAUAUCAACAACCGUAAAGAAAAACAUGAAAACUAAAUUUAAUGUUAAAGGAAAAAUUGAAAUAACUCCCUUAAUCAUUGGGUUGCCUCCCAAUUAGCACUUUAUUUAAGGUCUUUCAGUCUGACCCCCCUUAAUUGCUCAAACUGGAUUUAUGAGGCACAAAUCCUCCCUUGAAUGGUGAAAAUCAUCAUUAAUAUAGUGUUUCACCCGCUGCCCAUUUACUAUAAAUUCAAUGCUAGUUCUCUCAUCUUUGAGGUCCACAGCCCCAUGAGGAUGGAUUUUGAUAAGUCCAAAAGGCCCUGACCAUCUAGACUUUAACUUUCCUAAAAAAAAGCUUUGAUCUAGAGUUGUAGAGCAAAACUCAUUGACCUAGAAUUAAAUCCCUUUGCUGGAUGCGUUUAUCAUGCCAUUGUUUUGUUUUGUCUUUGCAAAUCCUUGCGUUAUCAUAAAAGAACUAUCUUAAUCUUUAAACUCACAAAGUUAAAACUUCCUAUGCUCUGCUGCAACAUGCAUGUCCAUGUUCAGUUGUUUUAGCGCCCAAAAUGCUUUAUGCUCUAGCUCCAGUGGCAAAUAGAAAGCUUUGCCAUAUAUAAUUUUAUAUGGUGACAUGCCAAGUAGUAUUUUGUAAGCUGUGCGAUAUGCCUGUAAGGAAUCAUGUAAUCUAAAAGACCAAUAUUUUCUAGUAGGGUUCACCACUUUUUCUAAAAUCCUUUUUAUUUCCUUGUUGGACACUUCUGGCUGACCAUUAGAUUGAGGGUGAUAUAUUGUAGCAACCUUGUGCUUAAUUCUAUAUUUGGCCAAUGCUGCAGCAAAUAUUCUGUUGCAAAAAUGAGUGCUUUCAUCACUGAUGAUGGCUCUAAGAGUCCCAAAUCUUGUGAAAAUGUUCUUUUAAAUGAAUCUCACCAUGGCUUUGGCAUCAUUUGUUGGUAGUGUUACAACUUCCGCCCAUUUGAACACAUAGUUUAUAGCAACUAAAAUGUAUAAAUCCCCAAAAGAGGGUGGGAAUGGACCCAUGAAAUCCAUCCCCCCAACAUCAAAUAGCUCAACUUCUAAAAUGUUGGUUAAUGGCACUUCAUGUUUUUUAGAGAUGUUCCUUGUUAUUUGGCACCUGUCACAACAUUUAACAAACUUAUAAGCAUCUUUAAAAAUAGAGGGCCAGUAAUAACCUGAUUGUAUAAUUUUUUUACUGCUGGUCUGUGGCCUCCAAAAUGGCCUCCAUAUGCUACAGCAUGACAUGAUUGCAGUAUGUUUGAAAUUUCUUCAUCAGAUACAUAUCUUCUAAUCAUAUAGCCUGAGCAUAUCUUGUACAAAUAAGGUUCAUCCAACUGAUAACUUCUAACAUCAUUAAGAAAUCUCUUCUUCUAUUGGUAACUUAGAUUAAGUGGUAACAAUCAGCUCACCAAGUAAUUAGCAAAAUCUACAUACCAUGGAAGCCCAGAUUAUUGUAGCAUAUGUGUAUGCUUUAGCAUUAACAAUUGCUCAUUAAGAAAUGUCUCUGUGAUCUCUUGCUUGAUUAGAGUGCUUUCAUCUGCUUCCAGCCUUGAAAGAUGAAAUUCUCCUUGGUUCUCAGUCCCUAUUCUUUGUUUAAUCUCGAAGUCAAAUUCUUGUAGCAAAAGGAUCCACCUUAUCAACCUUGGUUUGGCAUCUUUUUUUUAAAAUCAAAUACUUUAUGGCUAAGUAAUCUGUGUAAACAGUCACUUUGGUGCCAACCAAAUAAGCUCUAAAUUUGUCAAAUACAAAGACAAUUGCUAGUAACUCAUUUUUCAAUGGUAGUGUAAUUAAUCUGAGCAUCAGCUAAAGUUUUGUUAGCAUUAUAAAUAGAGUGAAAAAUUUUGUUCUUUCUUUGCCCUAACACUGCUCCAACAGAGUGGUCGCUGGCAUCAGAUAUCAACUUAAAAGGUAAGUUCCAAUCUGGUGUUAUAACAAUUGGUGCUGUAGCAAAAGCUUUCUUCAAUUCUAUAAAAGUCUUUAAACAAAGCUUACCAAAAUAGAAAGGCCUAUCAUGCUCCAGCAGCUAGCAUAAGAGUUUUGAUAAUUUAGAAAAUCCUUAAUGAAUGUUAUAUAGAAUUAUGCAUGUCCCAAGAAAUUCCUAAUGCCUUUAACUGAAGUAGGUGGUGGGAGUUUACUAUUUUGACCUUCUCCACUUAUAUUCCUUUUCUAGAGACUUUAUGGCUUAGGAUUAUCCCUUCUUGUACCAUAAAAUGACACGUUUCCUAAUUCAACACUGAAUUUAUCUCCUCACAUAUUUUAAGCAUAUUUUCUAGAUUAUGUAAACAAUCAUCAUAGAUCUCCCCAAAAAUCGAAAAGUCAUCCGUGAAUACCUCAAGCGUUUGCUCUACCAUAUUUCAAAAAAUAGACAUCAUACACCUCUGGAAUGUUGCUAAAGCAUUGCACAAACUAAAGGACAUCCUUCUUAAAUCCUUCUGAAAUAAGCAAAAGUUUCAUAAAGACAAGUGAAUAUUGUCUUCUCCUUAUCCUCUAGUGCUAUAGCAAUAUGGUUGUAGCCAGAAUACUCAUCCAAGAAACAGCAGUACUUUUUUCCAACAAGUAUGUCUAGCAUCUAAUCUAUGAAAGGCAACGGGAAGUGAUCAUUCCUUGUGGCGUUGUUUAGCUUCCUAUAGUUCAUGCAAACUCUUCAUACAGUUACUGUUUUGUGGGAAUAAGCUCAUUCUUCUCAUUUGUUGCAAUAGUCACUCCACCUUUCUUUGGAUCACAUUGUACUGGACUCACUCAGGAGCUGUCGGAUAUUGGGUAGAUGAUUCCAGCAUCAAGUCAUUUGAUAAUCUCUUUCUUGGUCAAUUUGGGUGAGUACUUGCUAGCAAUCCUCUAGCAAUUAAUUUGAAUUCUUAUAGCUAUUUGACAACUAUUAAUUUAUGUUUUUAUAUUUUCAUAUUAAAUAUAUUUAUUUAUUUAUUUUGAUAAAUUUUUAAAAAAUCAUUACUUAAAUUUAAUUAAUGAAAUAUUUUAAAAAAAUAUUAAAUUGAUAAAAUAAAAUUAUAAAUAAUAACUAUUUGAUGACAUUAAACAAGUUAAAAAGUUAAAGGGGUAAUUUUAAAAGCUUUGAUUUCCAAAAGAAGAAGAAUUUGAAUUCUUCAAUUCUUUGUAUAAAAUUCAAAUUCUAUAUUAGGAUGAAUAGUAAAUUCUAAUAAAAUUUAAAUUCUUAUAUAUUUUGUCCAACCAAACAAUUAAAAAAAAAAAUUCAAAUUACUUUCCUAUUCUCUAUCCUCACCUCCCAACCAAACACCAUCUAAACUCCUUAAUAUGCCACCCACAUAUUCAAACACCUUUGAGAAUCAAAGUAUCCCAGAUCUCCAGUAAGGAACCACCCAAAUUGAAAAGUAGUCUUAUUAGCCUCAGGAUUACCUUUAAUCAAAGUAUCCCAGAUCUUGCUAGCAAUCCUCUAGCAAGAUCUUGUACAUACAUAUGGAGGGGCUGAUUCAUUUGAUAUCUUUCAUGGUCUAUCUAAUGGCCUUCUUGUAUCUCCCCAACAUUUCCACUCAGCUCUUUACUUGAUCUGCAUUCAAAGAAGAUGAAAUGAUUACAUGUAGUGUGUUAUUAUCACCAAGAUAAACAUAUUUUAGAUGUGAAGGUAGAAGUUUUAAGUAUAAAACAUGAGGUAAUUCAAUAGAUGGUACAGCAGGUUUCACUUCCCCAUUUGAAAGAUCUAGAGACUCAAAAUGUCUGUUUGUCCUCACAGGUCGCUUCUCUCUUAACUAUGCUAUAUGCGUUGCUGCAGCAUCUUCAUCUUCAAGUUCUUCAAAUGUGGCGGCCUUGAUUUCUUCAUUGUUGCAGCAAUUAUUUAAGAUGUCUGUGACAGUAAGCUUCACAGCACCGACCAAAUCACAAUCUUCAACUUCAUCAAGACUCAUCAUUGCUUCCAAUACAUUAAAGGUAACUUACUGAUCAUUAACCCUCAUACUCAACUCUCAUUUUUUAACAUCAAUUAAAGUUUUUCCUGUGGCUAAAAAGGGUUUGCCUAGAAUAAUUUGUACUUCUUUAUCUGCUUCAAAGUCCAACACUAUGAAAUCCACUGGAAAAAUGAAUUUAUCCACUUUAAUCAAUACAUCUUCAAUUUUGCCUUCAGGAUAAGCAUGAGAUUUAUCAGCAAGUUGCAAUGUCACUGUGAUUGGUCUGACUUCUCCAACUCCCAAUUAUGUGAAUACUGAUAAUGGCAUAAGAUUAAUGCUUGCUCUCAAAUCACAAAGUGUCUUACUAUUGUAUUUAGUUCUUGUGGAACAAAGAAUUUUAAAACUUCCUGGAUCCUUUAACUUCUAAGGAAUUUUACUUUAAAGUAUAUGGUUCCAUUAUUGUCUUAAAGCAACUAUUUUGAAUUCUCCAAGCCUUUUUUUUCUUGCCAAUAUAUCUUUAAAAAACUUCACAUAAUUUGGCAUUUGUUCCAAUACGUCCACAAAAGAAAUUUUGAAAUGCAGUUGUUUUAAUACUUCCAAUAAUUUACUAAACUGCUUGUCAUGUUUUUACUUCUGAAAUCAUUACGGGAAGAUUUCCCCUUGGGUAUAAUUAGGUUAUGUUCUUCUUUUUGGUACUUUAACUAAAAUAUGAACAUCCUUUUCAGACCUUAAGUUAAUCACCUUGCAAUGCUCUUUUCUUUCUCUUCUUGGAUCCUCUGUAUUGCUUAGUAAAUUGCCCUAAGGUAUGUUGCUCAAUGCUGUAGCAAGCUGUCCAAUCUGAUUCUCCAAGUUUCUUAAAGAUAUGGCUUGACUUUGGACUACUACUUCAUUCUUCACAAUAUACUCCAUAAUUAGAGUUUCAAAGGAACUAAAUUGAUCAUUACUGGUGUUUAUUUUCCCUUAAAAUUGCUGAUGAAAUCCAAGUGGCUAAGCAGGUCUGUUAUGUCCAUUAGAUGUUGCAACAUGCUGAUUCUGAUUGCUCCAUGAAAAGUUUGGGUGCUGUCUCCAUUCAGGAUUAUAGAUGUUUGAAAAUGGAUUGGUUUGAUUUUGUCUAUUGAAAUUGCCCGCAUAAUUGACUAAGCUGGAUUUCCAGGACAACUAUCAUAUAGAUGUCCCUCUCCACAAUAAACACAAGAGACUUCAGCAACUUGGUUAGUUGUUGCUGGAGCAGUGGUCGUUGAUUUUACCAUAUUUGUUAAUGAGGUUACUUGGGCUGAUAAUGAUGUCAGUGCAUCCACAUUGUGUACUCCAGUUACUCCUCUUAUUGCGGCUUGUCUAAUUAAUGGCCAUUAAUAGUUAUUGUUGGCUAUCUUUUUCAAAAUUUCAUAAGCCUCAUUGUAUUACUUAGACAACAAGGCCCCUAGUGUUUGAGUUCAACCCAUUGUAGAUAGUUUCCAAUUGUACACAACAAGGAAUACCAUGAUGAAGGCAUCUCCUGGGUAACUCCUUGAAUCUUUCCCAUGCAUCAUACAAGCUUUCAUCUUCAAGUUGAUGGAAAGAUGUGAUCUCAUUCCUCAACUUUACAUUCUUUGUCGGUGGGAAAUAUUUCAUCAAAAAUUUGUCAGCCAAAUCAUUCCAUGUGGUGAUGGAGUCUAGUGGCAAAGAAUUCAACCAUGCCCUUGCUUGAUCUCUUAAAGAAUACGGGAAAAUUUUGAGUCUCAAUGCAUCUUGUGAUGCUCCAGCAAUUUUAAAAGCAUCACUUACCUCCAAGAAUAGUUUAAGGUGAAGAUGAAGAUCUUCUUAUGGCAAUUCAUUGAAUUGCCCCACUGUUUGUAAUAUCUAAAACAUCACUGGUUUGAGCUCGAAAUUGACAACUUGCAUUUCAGGUCUAACUAUUCCAGGAUGUAUAACUUGAGGGGUCAACACGGCAUAGUCUCUAAUGGCUCUGUCUCUAUCAUCUGUCAUGUAGAUAAUAUUGUUGUUCCCUGGUUGUCCCCAAAUAUUCUGCUCAUUAUGGCUUUCUUGGUCAUUAACUGGUUAUAUUUCUCUGUGAGGGUUCAAGUUCCUCAUAUCUUGCAAAUCGUCCAUUACUACAGCAGCUUUUGAAUGCUUAUUCUCUUUCCUCAAUCUCCUUACAAUUCUUUCAAUCUCUGGAUCAAAUUGGAAUUCAACAUGUUUGUAUUUGCGCAUGCAAGGGUUGGUAGAGCUCUUCUACAAACACAUUAAAAAAAAAGAAAAUUAAAAUCUUGCAUCAACUAAAAUUGAUUUCACAAAACACAAUAAGCACCAAUCCCCGGCAACGACGCUAAAAACUUAUUGUAGGUUUUCUAAUGCUAUUAGUGUCAAUGUGCAAGUGCACAUAACAAGUAAUAUAAUGAUAAAUAUUCUAGAUUGUCUCCACAAGGAUUAUUGUUAUAGGAAUUGCUACAACAAUUUUAUCAGUGCAAUUUUUAUUCUAAAUUAGAAUUAAAAUAAAUUAUUAAAUUAAUGAACUAAUUAAGAUAAAAAUGCAAUAAGAAAAAUACAAUAACAUAAAUUAUCACAGCAAAUAUAAGGAUGUAACCAAGGGGAAUGGAGUAGUUGAGUAAUUAAACUCACUUAAUGGUUUUGAUUAUUUUUCUAAUGUUUGGUUCGAUUACUACAACAUCUUCUACAGCACUGGGAAGAAUCCUUAUGUAUCCUCAAUUGUCGCAUGUUGGAUGUCUUAUACCUAAAAACAACUUAACAAUGACCAAUUGUUAUGCUAACAUUAGAUAUAGCAUUACACGUUUUAGAUUCGAAUUACCCUACAAGGUGAAUCCUUAUAUCUAGUUCAUCACUAAUUUUAGAUUACGCAUGACCUUUUUUUAAUCAGGUUAAACCCAAUUCAGGAAACCCAAUCUAAACCCAACUUAGGAAACCUAAUCUAAACCAAGUAUUGUUAUGAUAUGUUCCACUAAGACAGGUCUUUAUAGGCUCUAUCUUAGCUAAUAUCACUAAAUGGGUGGUCAGCCAAAAUAGUGAAUUGAAAUAAGUAUUAUUAAAACAACGUACUAUAGCAAACAUGCCCCAAUAUAGUAUAUCAGUCAAUUAACUAUCAAGUUUGCUCAUCGCUCAACCACGAGUAAAUUUAGUUCAUAAUUUGCAAUAAAACAAUAAUCAAAAUAGUUUUAGCCAUCAAAUAAUCCAUCAUAACAAGAUAAAAGUAAGAGAACAAAAAAUAAGAGUUGAGAUCUGUUUGAUGUUCUUCUAGAAUUCUUUGUUGCCGUCUUCGAUUCUCUCUCUUGAUAUUUGUUUUAUCUUGUUUUGUUUCUCUAUUGUUUCUCUCAAAUGACGGUCUCUCCUUUUUCUUUGCGUUUGUACUUCUUUUAUAUCUUAGCAUCAGGGCAACCGGAAGCCUAGGGUGCGCAUAUUCUAGUUUAGGAAACUCAAGAUCGCAAUCUUCCAAGUAUUAUAAGCGAAAUCUUUUCUGCCAUUGUUCCAGGAUUGCUACAGGAACAAUGCUACAGCAAUGGCUUCAGCACCUGCACUGUUCCAGAAUUGUUUCAAUUCUUAUAUAACCAUAUUCUUUCUUUAUCUUUGCAAGCCUAUUGCAGCAGCAUUCCUCCCUUGAAAUUUGAGCUUCCGGUCACCUAUAAUUAUAUUAUGAUCUAAGCACAAAAAUUAUUCUGAAACAAUGCAAUUUAUUAAAAUAAACUAUGGAUAUUCAUACAAAAUAUAACUAAAAUGCAAUAAAAAUAUGCCAUUUACUCUCUAAGUAAUCUUGAUUUAAGUCUAAAAAUGUCAUGAAAACUUUCAUUUCACAGAGUUAUCAGCAGCAAAAGGGUUAAUCCAACUAUUGAUUUAGAUCAAGUCUAUAAUGACAAUAACCCCUAACUAUUUGAGCUUAAAGCUCUUGCCAGCAAAUGGGCAAUUGGGAUGAAAGUCCUCUAUAAACAACUUGAAUAGAUAAGUAAAGAAAAAAAAAUGUGGCUUCACUAAGUCAAAACAAAACAUAUAAUCUAUUCAUUCAGUAAAAAAGAAAACAUUUUAGCCAAGCAAGCCAUCUUGAAAAAGAAAAAGGCAAUAUAUGAGAAUCUCGUGGAAUCCAACCUGCCAACACACAGUGGGAUAUGCAAGGUGCUUAAUCAUCAAUCAGAUUCUGGCUUUUGCUAUAAAAAAAAAAUCAAAAGAAUAAUCUAGUAAGGAAGACAUGCCGCUAGAUGAAGAGCUCAUAAUUAACACGUGACAGGAGGCCACUAAAAAGAUAAAGAUGCCAACUAGAAGCAUUAAUAUUUCAGAAAGAAUCCAAAGUAAAGGAUAAGACUUAUCGAAAUCCUUACCUCAACCAUGUGAAGACUAUCAACCAUUAGAAAAAGAAGACAAAAGUUGCCCUUAAUAAUGCAAGAAGAAGGGGUUACCUUAUCUCUGGGAAAUCUAUCAGGCAACAAGUGUCAUGUAAAAAGAUAUAAUCUUAUCUCUAAAAUCUAUAUGUGUAAGAAAGGAUUAUCUUAUCUAUCUAAAUCUAUAAAUAAAGUCACGUAAGAUAGAAGAGGUAUCACUCACGAGCAUUCUCUUAUUCUCAUCUGUAUUCUCUCUUUAAAUUCAAAAAUUAAAUAAAAAAAUUGUUUUUGAGUGAAAUUAUUAUCUUUAUAUAACUUAUUUAGAUUUUAGAAAAAAAAAAUCAAGAAUAUACAUGCCAACACUUGUGCUAAAUAAAGAAGAUUUCAUAUUACUAAGCACUCUUCUAUAUCAAUUACAACAGAUUCACUUAGGCAUAUCUUACUGGCUUAGUCUGCAAUGUGUUGCUUUAGGCCGUGUGGAAUAGUUGUGGGAUUGAUCUUGCAUGAUGUGUGGAGCUAUAACAGUGCUGAGCAUGGGCCAAUUUAUAGGCUCAUGGAACUAGCAAAAUUAUUCUAGAAUUUUGAGGAUUGUACUCUAGUUAGUACUCUAAAUUAUCUUAUUAUAUUUUGCACAAAUAAAUGAUAUAGAGUGAUAAUAGCAACUCAAUUUUCAUAAAACAUGGAAAGAUGAGUCGCCAAAUUUCUAGAUGCCAUAGAUAAUCUAGACUUUAGUAAGGAAUAUCAAGUUAUUUAUACAAUGAAAAUUGUUAAAUCUCGAUUAAUUGCAAGGAAGCACUUGUAGAGAGAUAUAGAGAGAAUAAACUAUUAGCCUAAAAGGGCUACACAUAUUGUAAUUUUGAUGAUAACAAACAUGUGUCUUAAGUGAUUUGAUAAAUAUUGUAUAUCACAUUUUCAUUAGUUCUUGAAAGAUAAUAUUUAUGAUGAAGUGAAUCACGAAAAAUCAAGCUCAAGACACUCAACGGACAACGGCGUGAUCAAGAAUAAAGUUUAGAGUUCAACGGAAUCAUUAUUGCGACAAUUCUUGUAAAGCCGGUAUGAUUUAAAAUAUGAAUGAUUUAGCAUUUAAAAAGCUCAAGAUUUUGUUUAAUAAAUCAUUAUUUUUUCAUAAAUCAAAAGUUUUACAAGUAUAAGCUAAGUAUUUUAUGAAAUUAGUUAUUUUUCAAGAUGUGGACUAAAAUGAAAAUUUUUUACAAUCUUUGAUUUUAAAAAGUAUUGUUUUGAAUUCCAGAGUUUGACUUAUUUGCAAACAUUUAAAACUUUUUAGGUCAUACUAUAAUUUAUGAACGUUUGAGGACCCGAAGUGAAAAUAUCCAAAAAUUUGAUAAAGAGUUAGCGGCUAAUCGCCUGAGGGCUAGCGGCUAGCUGCCUAAGGAAAAUCUCAUAUUUUCAAAUUUUGGACUAAAUUAAAAGAUUUUGAGAACUUUGAAAUUUAUAAGUAUUAUGUUAAAUUUUGAAAAAAAUUAUUAAACUUUGGACCAUAUCAUAAUUUCAAAAAGUUUUUAGAAUAACAAGUAUUAUUUUAAAAUUCAAAAGUUGGACCUGUUUGUAAAGUGUUAUAACGUUUUGGGCCAUAGUAUAAUUACAUAAAGUUUUGGGCACAAAUGUAACUUUAUUGUUCUGAAGCAACGAGCCGGAUAAAUUAAGUGGCUAGUCACUUGUUUGCUGGAAUUUACCCAUAACGGCUAAUUUUCAAGCUUUAUCUAUAAAAACUCAACUCCAACUUCAAUUUGGAGACUUUUGCAAGCAUAAACAAGUGCAUAAAAUAUAUAUUGAGCUUUUAUUUCGCAAAUCAUCUUAUAUUGAAUCAUCAUUGUGCUAUUAUUUGUAGAUCUACUCUAAAAGAGAGUUUUUUUUGUUGUAUUAUUCAUUUUUCUCAUCAAAUUUGUAAGUGUAUAAGUGUGAGAAACACUUAUGUGAAGAGAUUGAGAGAUAAUCUCUUGGUUGUAAAGGUUUAUUGACAUCUUGAAAGUCAAAUGUAAUGAACUUGAAGCCUUGGGAAACUUGAAUAGUGAAAUCCUUAAGGUUGGUUGGCUUGGAGGCAUGGACGUAGGCGGGGAUUGCGGAACCACGUAAAAAUUAUUGUGUUUGCUCUAUUUUCCCUUACUCUUCUAUUAUUGUACUUUAUUGAAUUUUUUAUUUUUUAUUUGAUUAAGACAAUAGAUUGAAUUGUUGUGCGAAUUGUUUAGCGUAAGUUUUAAAAUCUCAAUUCACCUCCCCCCCCCCUCUUGGAUUGCAUAACUUGCAUUUCAUAAACUUUAAAGAUAAUAAUUAAAUAUACGACAGCUUUAAGGAAGAAAAUAGAAUAGUAUUAAUAGAAUCUAUUUUAACCGGUCUUGAAAUAAUUCAAGACAGAUGCAAAAUAAAUAACAGGACUCUAAACCGUCCAUAAUAAGUCUAUUGAUGAAUAAAAACAAUAAUAGUGAUGUGAAUAUAUUCGGAUUUUAUAGAUUUUUAUGAAUUUGAUAACCAUUUAGAUCUUUAUAAAAUUAUAAUAAAACUUUAAAAAGCUUUAAAAAUAUAUGUAGAAAAGAUGGAAGAAGAAAUCAUCCAUUUAUUCAAAAUCAAUUAAACAAAAAUAAAAGGUAAAAUACUUGAGUUAUAUCAAUUAUACAAUUUCACAAAAAUUUUACAUAGAUUGCAAAAAGGUCCUUGUGGCACUACAGCAGGUUUCAUAAAUUUUUUACAUACAAAUUUUAUGUUUUAAAAUAUGAAUUUUUUUUUGUAUUUAAUACUUUGUUCAACUAUAUGUACAGGUCCUCAACGUGUUGGUUGAUGUUGAAUAUUCAAAGAUCCACAAGCUAUCAAUGACAACGACUCAAAUUAAACUAAUUCGUUAAUACAUAAUAACUGGGUUGUUUCCUAUGCUUGUUAAUGAUGUAGGACGUUGUUUUAGAAUUUUAGAAUUUUAAUUUUUUAGGUCUUCUGAUAUUUUCUUUUUUAAUUAAAGUUAGUGUCUUAGUCUUUUAUUUCUAUUGUAAUUAUGAUUUACUUUCCCUUUUUAAGUUAACUUAUAAAAGUAGAUUUACUCUAUUAUAAAUAAAGAGAUCUUGUUAUCGCUUUUAUAACUUCAACUUCAGUUAUUAAAUUAAAAACCCCUCUUUUAUAAUUUCCUUUGGUAUUAUCUAUUAAAAAUUCCUCUUUUAGAGUUGUUUGAUUAGAGUAUCAUUUAGCCUAUCUUAACACAGUAUUAAAAAUCCCAUUGAGUUUAAUCAUACUUCGAUUUGAGCGUAAUUAAUAGCAUUGAUUUGGUCCAGUACUUGAACGAUAUCUAGUGUUUUGCUUCUGCUACGCCCAAGGAGAAAAUGAAUUUCACCGUGAGAUAAGAGCAUUAAAAGGAAUUCAUAAGAAAUUUAAAUUAAAUUAGCUACGAAGUGAAAAUAAAUAAAUAAAUAAAUGAAUAUGAAGUUGAAAAUAAGUCUCGCCGCCUGGAUCCAAGGCCAAAACAUUCAUGAUAAGUUAGGUAAUUAAGUACAUGUUUUCAAGCUCUUCAUGAAGAAUAAUGUUAUUGAAAUAAAUCACAAAGACUCCCUGCGCAAAUUAUUACAUUGAUUAAAAAAAAAAUGCCAUAUCUUUAACAGGAUCGUGGCUCUCGGACUGUUAAUUACUUUAUUCCCUGCUUGGCCAACAGCUGGCCACUAAACAAAAUCAUAAAAAUUUUAAAUUUAGUCAAAUUGGUCCCACUUGAUGUCAUCCUUUUCAUACAUAAAAUUGUUUAACGUCAAGGUUAAAUAUGAGAAGUUUGGUAGAGACGGUAAAAAGGAAGUCUAUAUAAGGAGGGGAACGAGCUUUGUUUAUAGCACAAGUGAAACUCCACUUUAUUGAACGAUAGGGUCUCAAAUGGGCUGCCUCUUUGCCACUCUUUUGGUAGUAUCAGUCUCUCUUAGCUACUUGCCGUUAGAAGCCUCCGCAAACAAAUACUACUACACAUCUCCUCCCCCUCCCAAGUACAAGUCUCCACCCCCCCCGCCACCGGUUCACAAUUCUCCACCACCACCCCCGGUUUACAUGCCCCCGCCACCUCCUCCACCAGUCUACGUGCCUGCUCCGGCACCAACUCCAAUUUCCUAUUCCCCGCCACCUCCUGUCCCCAAGUCCCCACCACCACCUCACCCUUACGUCUAUGCAUCUCCCCCUCCUCCUUACUACUACUAGAAAGCGGCCAUGAAUAGCUCAUGCUUUUAUGGUAAUCUCAUUUAUUUUUAAAACU